rnacentral:rRNA from 1 species
UACGAAGGGGGCUAGCGUUGCUCGGAAUCACUGGGCGUAAAGCGCACGUAGGCGGACCCUUAAGUCGGUGGUGAAAUCCUGGAGCUCAACUCCAGAACUGCCUUCGAUACUGGGAGUCUCGAGUCCGGGAGAGGUGAGUGGAACUGCGAGUGUAGAGGUGAAAUUCGUAGAUAUUCGCAAGAACACCAGUGGCGAAGGCGGCUCACUGGCCCGGUACUGACGCUGAGGUGCGAAAGCGUGGGGAGCAAACAGG